CUUGGGACCUCAUCGUAGCCAGUCACCCUAUUCGAAUAACGACGAGUUUGCAAACGGCACUACGAUGCAGAAAAUGAAAGUUCUGGUACUAGCCUGUAUCGUGUUGGUUGCGUUGUUUGAAGUAGCGUCAGCCUGUGAUUGUAAUUACCACUCGGGUGGCUGCGCUAUGGUGAGACCAGCCCCACCUGGCAGGGCGUGCAAAUGCGUUUACCGAGGCUUUUGGACAUGCCGUGGUCGUACCGUCGGAUGCGGCGACCAAAAUCACCAUCUUUGCCGAAAUCCCGAUACCUCAAAGGCUGCGUGCCAUUUCGGCAAUGGAAACUGUGGUGGUUAUUAAGCGGAAACUUCUACACGGAGCGGCAUUCACCACCUGAAUCGACAAUUUAAAAAAUUUGUUAGAAUGAAGGUUUAUUUUUAUUUCAUAAUACACGUUUGCAAUAUUCUGUAA